GACGAACGCUGGCGGCGUGCUUAACACAUGCAAGUCGAACGGAAAGGCCCUGCUUUUGUGGGGUGCUCGAGUGGCGAACGGGUGAGUAACACGUGAGUAACCUGCCCUUGACUUUGGGAUAACUUCAGGAAACUGGGGCUAAUACCGGAUAGGAGCUCCUGCUGCAUGGUGGGGGUUGGAAAGUUUCGGCGGUUGGGGAUGGACUCGCGGCUUAUCAGCUUGUUGGUGGGGUAGUGGCUUACCAAGGCUUUGACGGGUAGCCGGCCUGAGAGGGUGACCGGCCACAUUGGGACUGAGAUACGGCCCAGACUCCUACGGGAGGCAGCAGUGGGGAAUAUUGCACAAUGGGCGGAAGGCUGAUGCAGCAACGCCGCGUGCGGGAUGACGGCCUUCGGGUUGUAAACCGCUUUCGCCUGUGACGAAGCGUGAGUGACGGUAAUGGGUAAAGAAGCACCGGCUAACUACGU
rnacentral:rRNA from 1 species